UGCGGAGAUCUCAUGCACUACAAUAAUAUCUCUCUAGAUGUCCGCUUGGUGCGAGUAUUCGAAAACCCUAUCUUUCUUUACACCUCCGCUUAAUGCAGCACUUUCAGAGGGUGCGAGAUCAAAAAUUGGGUUCGCGAAAAGUGACGCCGGGAGUACUGUAGUUUGACCAUCUAAUCUUUAUCUUAGACCAUGGCUUAAGCUGGGUCUACACUAGCAGUUUUUACAGACAAGUUACGGUCAUACAGACAUACAGACUCGAUACAGGCAUACGGAAAGCUUAUUCCGUUCAAUCUACACUAGCGAUUUUCCGUAAACGUAUGCCUGUAGCCUGUGUGUCUGUAAGAAAAAAAGUUUGAAAUGAUUCAAACUUUUCCCGUAAGUGAGAGUUUCCGUAAGAUGAAAAAUAAGGUUCAGCCAAUGAGAAUAAAGUAUAGAUUUUCAAAUACUCUUUAUUAGUGCAACCACACAUGACUGCAACAUUGUCUGUUGAAAUUCGUCUGCCACAGUCGUCAUGCGUAUUAAAAAACUUGAAUUUGAAUAAAAAACAUGGGGCCCAAACCAUCUCCAAAGAAAAGAAAUCCCCAAAGAAAAUAACCGAAAAACUGAAACUAGAAACAAAAGACGUCGAGAGGUUCAUUUUGUGUGUUAAAAAUCAUCCUGUAUUGUAUAAUACUACAUUGCACGAUUACAAAGUUACAAAAGUUA